GGAAACCAGAAAGGCCAGACUACUCCGCCACUGCCACACCACCCACUCAACCGCAGAAACACACACACACACACUCUGUCACACUAUCUCUCCGUCUCUUUCUCACACACACAUGCACACACACUCACAUGUACACACACACACAGGCUAACACACACACACACACACACUCUCUCACUCACUCACUCACUCUCACACUCACACACACACACACACACACACACAUACAUAUGCACACAGAGGCUAACACAUACACUCUCUCACUGUCUCUCUCACACACACACAGAUUAACACACACACACAGACUAACACACUCUUACACAAACUUUUUCUCUCUCUCACACACAGACAGACACACACACACACACACACACCCUAUCCGGAGACAGAGGUGGUUUCCUGCUUAGUGUGGGGAGAAAAGGAGGCUCCGUAAUCACAGCUCUGGUUGUGUGUGUGUCUGUGUGUGUGUGUGUGUGUGUGUGUGAGAGAGAGAAAGAGAAAGAGAGAGAAGGUUUCCCGGGUAUUGUGGGGAGAAGAGGAGGCUCCGUAAUCACAGCUCAGGCUGGGAAACCCCAACAAACAGAAUAGAAUGACUGUGUGUGUGUGUGUGUGUGUGUGUUUGUGUUUGUGUUUGCUGGGUGGGCUUAUUGCAACCUGACAGCCUUGUGGCCGGAUCUUGGAGGGAGGCUGUGUGUGUGUGUGUCGUGAGGAAGGCUGUGUGUGUGUGUUUUGUGAGGAAGGCUGUGUGUGUGUGUGUGUGUGUGUGUGUGUGUGUGUGUGUGUGUGUGUGUGUGUGUGUGUUGUGAGGAAGGCUGUGUGUGUGUGUUUUGUGAGGAAGUGUGUGUGUGUGUGUGUGUGUGUUGUGAGGAAGGCUGUGUGUGUGUGUGUGUGUGUGUUGUGAGGAAGGCUGUGUGUGUGUGUUGUGAGGAAGGCUGUGUGUGUGUGUUUUGUGAGGAAGGCUGUGUGUGUGUGUGUGUGUUGUGAGGAAGGCUGUGUGUGUGUGUGUGUGUUGUGAGGAAGACUGUGUGUGUGUGUGUGUGUGUGUGUGUGUGUUGUGAGGAAGGCUGUGUUGUGUAGAGGAGAGCUGGGUCCAGGCCAUGUCAUUCUGGAAUGUGAGUAAAAUUUGUGAUCUAGACGUGGACCUGCCUGAAUGACAACAUAAACAAAUAAACAAAUAAACAGAUAAACAAACAUCAGUGGGCAAGGCCCUCAUAGCUCCACCCUCAGGCACGACACACUUCUGCUCUGAGCCAAUCAGCUGCAUGAGCCGCUGCAGGGGGAGUGUCAGGUGGAUGGGGUCAGAGGUCGCUAGCAGCGUGUCUGAAGGAGGCAGUAUUACUCAUCUCCUUCUGCAGACAAAACACACACACACACACACACACACACACACACACACACACACACACACACACACACAUAUUCACAGGCAGACAUACACGCAUACACAUGUGCACACCACACACCA
ensembl:lncRNA